rnacentral:rRNA from 1 species
GAUGAACGCUGGCGGCGUGCUUAACACAUGCAAGUCGAACGAUGAAGCCCAGCUUGCUGGGUGGAUUAGUGGCGAACGGGUGAGUAACACGUGAGUAACCUGCCCUUGACUCUGGGAUAAGCCUGGGAAACUGGGUCUAAUACUGGAUAUGACUUCUCAUCGCAUGAUGGGGGGUGGAAAGAUUUAUUGGUCUUGGAUGGACUCGCGGCCUAUCAGCUUGUUGGUGAGGUAAUGGCUCACCAAGGCGACGACGGGUAGCCGGCCUGAGAGGGUGACCGGCCACACUGGGACUGAGACACGGCCCAGACUCCUACGGGAGGCAGCAGUGGGGAAUAUUGCACAAUGGGCGCAAGCCUGAUGCAGCGACGCCGCGUGAGGGAUGACGGCCUUCGGGUUGUAAACCUCUUUCAGUAGGGAAGAAGCGAGAGUGACGGUACCUGCAGAAGAAGCGCCGGCUAACUACGUG